GACGAACGCUGGCGGCGUGCUUAACACAUGCAAGUCGAACGGAAAGGCCCUGCUUUUGUGGGGUGCUCGAGUGGCGAACGGGUGAGUAACACGUGAGUAACCUGCCCUUGACUUUGGGAUAACUUCAGGAAACUGGGGCUAAUACCGGAUAGGUGCUCCUGCUGCAUGGUGGGGGUUGGAAAGUUUCGGCGGUUGGGGAUGGACUCGCGGCUUAUCAGCUUGUUGGUGGGGUAGUGGCUUACCAAGGCUUUGACGGGUAGCCGGCCUGAGAGGGUGACCGGCCACAUUGGGACUGAGAUACGGCCCAGACUCCUACGGGAGGCAGCAGUGGGGAAUAUUGCACAAUGGGCGGAAGCCUGAUGCAGCAACGCCGCGUGCGGGAUGACGGCCUUCGGGUUGUAAACCGCUUCCGCCUGUGACGAAGCGUGAGUGACGGUAAUGGGUAAAGAAGCACCGGCUAACUACGUGCCAGCAGCCGCGGUGAUACGUAGGGUGCGAGCGUUGUCCGGAUUUAUUGGGCGUAAAGGGCUCGUAGGUGGUUGAUCGCGUCGGAAGUGUAAUCUUGGGGCUUAACCCUGAGCGUGCUUUCGAUACGGGUUGACUUGAGGAAGGUAGGGGAGAAUGGAAUUCCUGGUGGAGCGGUGGAGUGCGCAGAUAUCAGGAGGAACACCAGUGGCGAAGGCGGUUCUCUGGGCCUUUCCUGACGCUGAGGAGCGAAAGCGUGGGGAGCGAACAGGCUUAGAUACCCUGGUAGUCCACGCUGUAAACGGUGGGUACUAGGUGUGGGGUCCAUUCCACGGGUUCCGUGCCGUAGCUAACGCUUUAAGUACCCCGCCUGGGGAGUACGGCCGCAAGGCUAAAACUCAAAGGAAUUGACGGGGCCCCGCACAAGCGGCGGAGCAUGCGGAUUAAUUCGAUGCAACGCGUAGAACCUUACCUGGGUUUGACAUGGAUCGGGAGUGCUCAGAGAUGGGUGUGCCUCUUUUGGGGUCGGUUCACAGGUGGUGCAUGGCUGUCGUCAGCUCGUGUCGUGAGAUGUUGGGUUAAGUCCCGCAACGAGCGCAACCCUUGUUCACUGUUGCCAGCACGUUAUGGUGGGGACUCAGUGGAGACCGCCGGGGUCAACUCGGAGGAAGGUGGGGAUGACGUCAAGUCAUCAUGCCCCUUAUGUCCAGGGCUUCACGCAUGCUACAAUGGCUGGUACAGAGAGUGGCGAGCCUGUGAGGGUGAGCGAAUCUCGGAAAGCCGGUCUCAGUUCGGAUUGGGGUCUGCAACUCGACCUCAUGAAGUCGGAGUCGCUAGUAAUCGCAGAUCAGCAACGCUGCGGUGAAUACGUUCCCGGG
rnacentral:rRNA from 1 species